AUGUGGAGGGGUUUGUUGUUCGUAGCAGAACAGAGGGAGAGUAAAGUAAAGUUCAAGGAUGAUGAUUUUAGAGGGGGUUCCAGAAUUGUGCAGAGAUUUGCCGGUUUUGCAGAAAGAAAGUUUGGGACAGAGGUUCUUGUGGUCACUUGGUUUGAUAUCACAGCAUCCGACGAGUUCCCGUUUUCUGAAAAAAACUUCGACAGGUUGUUGUUGUUCGACAGUAGAUGGAGUAUAUCACAAGAGAAGAAGCUGGAGGGAUUUUUGGUUGAGAAUUGUAGAGAUUUCGUUGUUGUUAUUGUUGGAUGA